rnacentral:rRNA from 1 species
UACGAAGGGGGCUAGCGUUGCUCGGAAUUACUGGGCGUAAAGCGUGCGCAGGCGGUUUUGUAAGCCAGAUGUGAAAUCCCCGGGCUUAACCUGGGAAUGGCAUUUGGGACUGCAAGGCUGGAGUGCGGCAGGAGGAGACGUGGAAUUCCUGGUGUAGCAGUGAAAUGCGUAGAUAUCAGGAGGAAUACCGAUGGCGAAGGCAGGUCUCUGGGCUGACACUGACGCUCAUGACAC